rnacentral:rRNA from 1 species
GUAGGGUGCGAGCGUUAAUCGGAAUUACUGGGCGUAAAAGCGUGCGCAGGCGGUUUUGUAAGACAGGCGUGAAAUCCCCGGGCUCAACCUGGGAAUGGCGCUUGUGACUGCAAAGCUGGAGUGCGGCAGAGGGGGAUGGAAUUCCGCGUGUAGCAGUGAAAUGCGUAGAUAUGCGGAGGAACACCGAUGGCGAAGGCAAUCCCCUGGGCCUGCACUGACGCUCAUGCACGAAAGCGUGGGGAGCAAACAGGAUUAGAUACCCUGGUAGUCCACGCCCUAAACGAUGUCAACUGGUUGUUGGUCCUUAGCUGGAUCAGUAACGAACKAACGCGUGAAGUUGACCGCC